rnacentral:rRNA from 1 species
AACGUACGCUGGCGGCACGCCUAACACAUGCAAGUCGAACGAAGUAGCAAUACUUAGUGGCAGACGGGUGAGUAACAUGUGGGUAUCUACCCUUUGGCCUGGAAUAACACGAGGAAACUUGUGCUAAUACCGGAUAAGUCUUUACGGAGAAAGCUUUAUGCACCAUUGGAUGAGCCCGCACUUGAUUAGUUUGUUGGUAGGGUAAUGGCCUACCAAGACUAUGAUCAAUAGCUGAUUUGAGAGGAUGAUCAGCCACAUUGGGACUGAGACACGGCCCAAACUCCUACGGGAGGCAGCAGUGGGGAAUCUUGCACAAUGGAGGAAACUCUGAUGCAGCGAUGCCGCGUGAGUGAAGAAGGCCUUUGGGUUGUAAAGCUCUUUCGUCGGGGAAGAAAAUGACUGUACCCGAAUAAGAAGGUCCGGCUAACUUCGUGCCAGCAGCCGCGGUAAUACGAAGGGACCUAGCGUAGUUCGGAAUUACUGGGCUUAAAGAGUUCGUAGGUGGUUGAAAAAGUUGGUGGUGAAAUCCCAGAGCUUAACUCUGGAACUGCCAUCAAAACUUUUCAGCUAGAGUAUGAUAGAGGAAAGCAGAAUUUCUAGUGUAGAGGUGAAAUUCGUAGAUAUUAGAAAGAAUACCAAUUGCGAAGGCAGCUCUCUGGAU